GUUUCUCUUCAUGCUUGGUUUCCUACAGAGCUUUCUGGACAUGGGCACAGGCCUUCUGUUAGCUCCUAUGACUGCUGUGCAAGGUGAUUGCAUGGGGGAACAGAUUACCCAGAGCAGAUGUGGAUUCUACAGCCCAGUUUUUUCAAAAUCCUGAGAAACCUGAUCUGAAUUCAACGUUAACCCUGCUUUGUGGACAAGACUGGGUGAAAUGACCUCCUGAGGUUCCUUCCAACCUAAAGAUCUUCAUAGCAGAUUUUACAUCCCAGUGAUUUGAGAAGUUGCAUUCAAAACAAGGGACAUACGCUCCUCCCAGAACAGAAUUUUUGUCUAUGGUGUUUUAAGAAAAAACAACCAGUUGCUCCAUCUGUCAGUAAACCUCUUCCAAGAAGAAGGAAAUAUCAACACAACACAAAAUGUGAUUGCCCUUUGAAAGCAAAAAAUGGCAGCAGAGGGGCAGUCUGACAAAAUGCCGCCUGAUGUGGAAGUGUGCCUGAAGCAAAGGUGUGUCACUGAAUUCCUCCAUGUGAAAAUAAUUACACCCAUUAAUGUUCAUCGCCACUUGUGGAAGGUUUCUGGGGACCAAAAAGUGGAUGUGAGCACAGUGAUGUGGGUGAUGCAUUUCAGUAGUGGUGUCAGCAACAGUGGAUCACCUCCAGUGCUACAGAUUUGUAUGAGCAUGGCAUGCAGGCUAUGGUUUAUUGCUGGCAAAAAUGCAUACCUAAUAGUGAUGACUAUGUUGAAAAAUAGCAUUUUGUACCUGAGAUUCUGCUCUAUCAAGUAGUGUUCUUGUGCUCUUUGUAUCAGUUGUAGUUUCCAUGGAAAUAAAUAGGAGACACUACUUUUGGAGCAACCUACAUAUAUUUAGAAAUAUAUGUUACAGUCUGAGGAAUAAUAAAACUGCAUUGAUAAUGAAAGUUAUAUGAGAUUGUGAAGACUGAACUUCAUGGCAGAGAUGAUGAAUAAGACACAGGGACAGGAUGCAUUUUAGACAAAAGCUUGAACUUUCAAUACCUGCACACCAAGUUCAAGCUACUUCAGCUCCUGCAGAAAAAAAAAGCUUACAGUGAACUUGGAGUACUGAGAGGAAAAUUCUGAGUGAAUGUGACAAUGUGAUUCUGUAGCACAGAGUAGUUUAACCACUCCUUGUUCAAAAUAAUCAUAUAAUCAUAGAAUCACCAAGGUUGGAAAAGACCUCCAAGAUCAUCCAGUCCAACCAUUCACCUACCACCACCACUUCCCUACUAAACCAUGUCCCUUAGUAGAACACCUAAACAUUUUUUGAACACCUCCAGGGUUGGUGACUCCACCACCAGCCUGGACAGCCCAUUCCAAUGCCUAACCAUUGCUGCAGAUAGAUUUCCUAAUGUCCAACCUGAACCUCCCCUGGCACAACUUGAGACCAUUCCCUCUCAUUGUAUCACUAGUUAUGUGGGAGAAGAGUCCAACCCCCACCUUGCCACAAUCUCCUUUCAGGGAGUUUUAGAGAGGUAAAAGUUGGAAGAAAACUUAUAUAAGUAGAUGUGGGCUCUUCAGAUUACAAGGCGGUUCUGACACCACAAAUGAGUUACAAUAUUAACUCUAAAUUCUAGUAGUGAAGAAAUACGUAGAAUACGAUACAAGCAAAGCCUGGCAUUUUUAACAGAAAAUGGACCAUGUCAGAAUAACAGAAUUGCCUAGGAGGACUGAGUGAUUGAAAAUUUGAUUGGUAAUUUAUGUACUUGUUUCUGUGCAAUACCAGAAAACAGGUGGUCCUUCCAGGAAAAAGGGAGAAACUGACUUCAUUAAAAAGGACUUUACUUUUAUUUGCAAAGUAAUGGUGUAAAAAUUACUGAGAACCUGCAGUCCAGGAAACGUCUGGUUUUGUCCUUCUGACAUUUUAUGUGGUCUGCCAACAUCACUUGCAUAUAAUUAUACUGGUUUUAGCAGGACUACUGCCUCUGGAACUUUAAUGAGUAGAAAUAUGUUGCAAUGUUGGCAGACAUUUACUCUUUUCUAAACUUUCUAAACCACGAUGUUUGUGCAAGAUCCUAGCUGAGGAUUUUUUUUUUUUCUGGGUUGGAUCAGUUCAGCUUCCAUAGGAUUCAAUGUAACUAUUAAUUUUUGUUAUCUGUUGUCUGCUAUCUGUUGCUUGCAGGACCUACAGGCACAAAGCUCACUAUGCAUAACAGAGGACAUUGUCCAUCACAACAAAGGGCUAAAAAAGUGAAGAUAAACUAGCGCAUACGAGGAAAUUAUGGGACAGUGUCAGUUACAAAGGCUUGUCUCUUGCACACUAGCAGAUGAAUCAUCAUCCGUGGUUUUGGGGAGGAUGUUUAGACAUUACAGCAAAGGUGAGUUUAGAGUGGGUAUGGAGAAGUUAUGCACGUUUAUAUGGAGCUCAACGUAGGUUUGAACAGAGGCAUUUUUUAUCAGAUAAACAGAUGGGCAAUAUGUGGACUAAUUAAAGCUUGAAACUCAUCCCUGGAUAAUAAAUGAAAAGUGAUUCAUAGAGUGAGAAUAGUUGUCAAUGAUUUGACAGCUAUUGAAAAGUGAUUUUUUCAUUUGUUUGUUUAUUGUGAGGGGAACUGUCAAAAAUGCAAGGAGCUGCGUGAGCUAAUCGAAGUGUUAAGUUUUGAAGACAGUCUUGGCAGCAGUCUAUAAAGAGAUAUGUCUGCAACAAAAAUGCCUUUGUCAGGGCCAAGAUGCUACAGUAAGCGAUCUGUAAAAUAACUCCGACCUUAACAAGAAUUUUAACAGCAUGAAUGGAUGAAAGAGGCCACGUUUUAGGGAGGGUUCUGCAGGAGUAGCUAAAAGGCUAAAUUAAAGCUGGUGCCUGUGGGUGUCUAUGACUGGUAGGAUGGGGAGAGACCUCUGAGAAUUUUGUGAGUAGGAAGACAAGAAAGAGAUGGCUGGGAAAUGAAGGUUGAGAGUUUGGUCUUGGCUAUGCUGGGCUUGAGAUGGUGGCCAGGCAGUUCCAAAGGCAUGUCAGCGUGCCUAGGUGAAUGUAUGAUGAUGAAUGUAAUGUGUUAGGUAAGGGGUUAGGUCUGGAAUGUAGCAGCAUCCAUGAUCCUUCUGAUAAUGAAAUUUGUAGGUGAAAAGAGGCCAAGAGAGACUUUGGAAGGAAAUCACAUGAACUACUGUAAGUGUAGAAAAUGUGACUUCAGAAGAAAUCACAAUAAAAUCAGGAUAUUUUCAUCUGAAAAAGGCUAAGGAAAAGUACAGUUAUAGUCUACUUAAGCAUUACAAGUGACUGCAAAAAUGGAGAAAAUUAACUGUUCUCCAUGGUGAUCAGAACUAGAAGAUGUCAACUUGUAUUGCUGCAAGGGCUAUUUAGGUAAAAGAGGAGAAAAAUUGCAGUGAUAAAAGUAGCAGUGCAUGAAGGCUGUGGUACCCCUCCACUGAAAUUUUUAGGAACAGAUGUGCAUCUACAGUGAAAAGCAUGUGAAAAAAACUCCUUAUUAAUGUAUGUGUUUUUUUUUUUUUCACCUGUAUGUUUUGUGCUGUAAAUUUCAGUGUUAUUAUAAUUAGACUACUAAUAACUUUGACUAGGUUAUUAAGAUACCAGUUAGGCUCACCAUAAAUGCUUAGCUCCAUGUAUAUGGUGUGUACACCUCUAAGAGCAUUUUGAGCAUAGCACGUACAUUACUUUUGUUUCAGGAUAUGAUUCAUUUUUUUCAUAUGAAAGUUUGCUUCCUUCAUCUUAAACGGGAUUACUUAACUCAUUCAAUGCUUUAUUGUUUUAACAUUGAUAGCAUAUUUGAUGGGUAAGAUACACAGUUUUAAUACUGUUUCAAAGAGGAAAUAAUAGAAGAUGUUUGAAUAUUACAGAAUUAUGACCUGAUUUUACAUGGGUAUUUUCUACGCUAGCGGCAAUCAUGCAGAAAAAUCUGUUUAGCCUAAAAUGGCAGUGUUAAUGACCUUGUACAGGAAGAGCAAUGCAUAAAUUGAUGGAGCUUUUACAGUAGGAAGAUAACCUUGGUCAUCCAAAGCUUUUCUACAGAGGUCAGAUGGAAUUAAACAUAUAAGGAAACAACUUCUCUUUAAAGUCUAGCCCUGUCCCAUGGCUGCUUGUUAAAUAUAGUCUUGGAGUACAAUAUUCCUUCCGUUCUGUCUCUUGAGCAGCUACCUGCUCAGCUUUUUUCUUGAAUCUAUGGAUGAAGGGGAAGGAAAUGCCGAUGGCUAUGAGCCCAUAAUGUGCUGGAGGCAAUGACCCUGUCACUGUUUAAUGCUCAGUGUUAACUGAAUCCCCAAAAAUAGGAAUUACUGGGAAGGAAUAAGGUGAAAUGACAUCAAUACUGUUCUGCUUUGUUUUGUUUUCAACUGCAUUCUCUUCUCAUUUUUACAGCUUAAGCUACUGUUUUUGAUUGUAAAGGUUUCUUCAAUUUUUUCAAUGUAUUCAGAAGUCAAGGAGACUUUUUACCCAAAGAAUUUAAUUAGGUUUCCCACAAAUUAGUUAUUUUUUCAUCUGCUUUUUUCUUCAUCAUAACCCCUGUUGCUAGCUUUUCUCAGUUUAUCUGAGAUAGCACUGAAGGUGUUUUGGGAAUUGAAUACCUACAUAAAUGUAACUUUAUUUGCUUGGUUGAAAUGACAAAUAAAAAGAAUGGACAAGUGCUGGCCAACUGUUACUUGGAAAAUUUGUGUCUGAACUUUGAAUCUUCUUAGUAUAUGUUGACCAAAAAAACCUUAAAUCAUCUAUUCCUUGUGUGUUUUAAACCUGUGGCUAGUUAUCACUGUAGCUGAAAGCUGAAACAAGUUGCCCUGAUAGAAGCUGUGAACUAGUCUGAGACUCUGCAUUUACAACUGAUGGUUUUCAUUAGCCCUACUUUGACAUUGUACUUCAGUUCCUCAAUAACCACAGCAGAGCUCAAGAAAUAAUUGGGCUUACUAUCUAACCACUGUUUAAAACACCAGAACACCAG
ensembl:lncRNA